AUGGCUACAGUGAAUAUACAGUUAGAACUUUCUCAUGCUCCAUUUAGUGGAGGAAUCCACAUUGUGUGGCCUGAGCUUGUCGUGAUACUGUUUUUGCGCCCCCAUAGUAUAUCUGUGUUGGUCUGGUCUAAGUUUGGGACUAGGGUAGUGAAUGCUGAUAUAUUCAAAAUUCCAUGCAAAAAUCAGCUGAAAAGGCAUUCAGCCACUGUUAUCAAAGUACUGAUAAAUAUGCAUGAACAAUUACAUUCAUAUAUUCCACCUUGCAUUUACGUUGUUCAUCAUGCGCGAUUCACUGAUUCCACGUGCAUCAGGUGUUCCCACCUAACCUCCAAUUGGGAUUUCACAGUAAUACGAAGAAGAAAGGGUGCAAAGCAAUCAUUAUAUCAAUAUAUCAUGUUAAACAGGAACCAGAUUGAGCAGACAGAGGUUGCUUCUAGCAGCAGAUGCUUGUCACACCACACUAACUUACAACGAAAACAAUGUAGAGCAGAAGGCCAAGGUCAGGGAGGGUGCUGUGCCUCCAGCUUCCUGAUAAUGGAGUUGGUCACGCCCCAGCUGAACCCUCUGUACUGA
rnacentral:rRNA from 1 species